AAAUCACCAAUUGUUCGCCAAACAACUACAAGCCGCACUUGAAACUUAAAAGACUUGACGGUACUUCAUCACGACCUAGAGGAGCCUGUCUAAUAACCGACAAUCCACGAUUAACCCAACCCCUUCUUGCCCAACAGUCUAUAUACCGCCGUCGCCAGCUUACCUUGUAAAAGAAAUAAAGUGAGCUAAAUAAUACAACACUAAAACGACAGGUCGAGGUGUAACCUAUGAAGGGGCCAAGAUGGGCUACAUUCUCAUUCGAGAAUACGAAUAACACUAUGAAACUAGUGCUUGAAGGCGGAUUUAGCAGUAAGCUAAGAAUAAAAUACUUAACUGAACAUAACGCAAUGAAGUGCGUACACACCGCCCGUCAUCCCUGCCACCAC
rnacentral:rRNA from 1 species